CAGCAGUAGCCACGGUAAUACGGAGGGUGCAAGCGUUAAUCGGAAUUACUGGGCGUAAAGCGCACGCAGGCGGUUUGUUAAGUCAGAUGUGAAAUCCCCGAGCUUAACUUGGGAAUGGCAAUGGAUACUGGCAAGCUAGAGUGUGUCAGAGGAUGGUGGAAUUCCCGGUGUAGCGGUGAAAUGCGUAGAGAUCGGGAGGAACAUCAGUGGCGAAGGCGGCCAUCUGGGACAACACUGACGCUGAGGCACGAAAGCGUGGGGAGCAAACAGGAUUAGAUACCCCGGUAGUCCCUGUCUCUUAUAC
rnacentral:rRNA from 1 species